rnacentral:rRNA from 1 species
AGUCGAACGAAGUAGCAAUACUUAGUGGCAGACGGGUGAGUAACAUGUAGGUAUCUGCCCUUUGGCCUGGAAUAACACGAGGAAACUUGUGCUAAUACCGGAUAAGUCUUUACGGAGAAAGCUUUAUGCGCCAUUGGAUGAGCCUGCACUUGAUUAGUUUGUUGGUGGGGUAAUGGCCUACCAAGACUGUGAUCAAUAGCUGAUUUGAGAGGAUGAUCAGCCACAUUGGGACUGAGACACGGCCCAAACUCCUACGGGAGGCAGCAGUGGGGAAUCUUGCACAAUGGAGGAAACUCUGAUGCAGCGAUGCCGCGUGAGUGAAGAAGGCCCUUGGGUUGUAAAGCUCUUUCGUCGGGGAAGAAAAUGACUGUACCCGAAUAAGAAGGUCCGGCUAACUUCGUGCCAGCAGCCGCGGUAAUACGAAGGGACCUAGCGUAGUUCGGAAUUACUGGGCUUAAAGAGUUCGUAGGUGGUUGAAAAAAGUUAGUGGUGAAAUCCCAGAGCUUAACUCUGGAACUGCCAUUAAAACUUUUUCAGCUAGAGUAUGAUAGAGGAAAGCAGAAUUUCUAGUGUAGAGGUGAAAUUCGUAGAUAUUAGAAAAGAAUACCAAUUGCGAAGGCAGCUUUCUGGAUCAUUACUGACACUGAGGAACGAAAGCAUGGGUAGCGAAGAGGAUUAGAUACCCUCGUAGUCCUUGCCGUAAACGAUGUGUGUUAGACGUUGGAAAUUUAUUUUCAGUG